AAGACUAUAGACCUGCGGAGUACCUGCGGAAGGAUCAUUAAAGAGUUUAACUACUCAAACCAUUGUGAACCUUACCUCAACCGUUGCUUCGGCGGGCGGGCCCGGGCCAAGCCCGGCGCCCCCCCGGCCCCUCGCGGGCGCCCGCCGGAGGUAAACCGAACCCUUGAAUUGUAUGGCCUCUCUGAGUCUUCUGUACUGAAUAAGUCAAAACUUUUAACAACGGAUCUCUAGAUCGGAAGA
rnacentral:misc_RNA from 1 species